rnacentral:rRNA from 1 species
UACAGAGGUCCCAAGCGUUGUUCGGAUUCAUUGGGCGUAAAGGGUGUGUAGGUGGCGCCGUAAGUCGGGUGUGAAAUCUCGGGGCUUAACUCCGAAACUGCAUUCGAUACUGCGGUGCUUGAGGACUGGAGAGGAGACUGGAAUUCAUGGUGUAGCGGUGAAAUGCGUAGAUAUCGUAAGGAAGACCAGUGGCGAAGGCGGGUCUCUGGACAGUUCCUGACGCUGAGGCACGAAGGUCAGGGGAGCAAACGGG